AGAAAAGGCAAAACGUUUCAAGCAAGUCAAUGUUCUCGGCACUGAUGUUGUCCGACAGUCCAUUUUAAGAAGAAGUCCAGCUGAAGAAGUACAGAGCCAAGAGCAAACCCGCCAGGAUGCAGAAAAGUCAGACACUUCACCUGUUGCUGGGAAGAAGGCCAGCCAUGAUGGGCCCAAGAGAAAGGGAUUUCUUCUUAGCAAGUUCAGAUCGGCAACCAGAGGAGAAAUCAUAACUCCCAAAACUGACACUGGGCGGAGCUAUAGCUUGGACUUAGACGGUCAACAUUUUCGGAGUUUAAAAUCACCUCCUGGUUCAGACAGG
rnacentral:lncRNA from 1 species